rnacentral:rRNA from 1 species
CAGCUCGUGUCGUGAGAUGUUGGGUUAAGUCCCGCAACGAGCGCAUCCCUCCUCUUUAGUUGCCCCUAUUUGGUUAGGCACUCUAAAGAUACUGCCCCGGUUAACGGGGAGGAAGGUGGGGAUGACGUCAAGUCCUCAUGGCCUUUAUGCCCAGGGCUACACACGUGCUACAAUGGGCGGUACAAAGGGCAGCAAUCUCGCGAGAGGGAGCUAAUCCCAAAAAGCCGUUCUCAGUUCGGAUUGGAGGCUGCAACCCGCCUCCAUGAAGUCGGAGUUGCUAGUAAACGCCGGUCAGCCAUACGGCGUUGAAUACGUUCCCGGGCCUUGUACACACCGCCCGUCACGUCAUGGGAGCUGGUAACACCUGAAGUCGGUGUGCUAACCGCGAGGAGGCAGCUGCCGAGGGUGGGACUGGUGACUGGGACGAAGUCGUAACAAGGUA